UGUAUGCCCCACGGGAGAAGACUGGGAGCAGGAGUACCUGGAGGAGGAGGAGAACAUUGUGAGUCUUCUCUAGGAACCCAACGGGGAAAUGUCCAAGAGGGCCCCAAGCCUCAAAAGUGCCAAGAACUGAUGGGGCCAGUACAAAAGUCACUGAAGCACCUGG